rnacentral:lncRNA from 1 species
CCACCAUCUUCAACCAAGUUCAGAAUUUUUGAAAAGUCUCAGAUUUAGAUUUCAAUGGAUAGGUCCAAACUUUUCUAGAGUAGUCGUCAACUAUAGAAAGAAAGUACUUAUUCCCUCCAAAUGUAGGAUGACUUUUCGGUCCCCAUAAAUCUGAGUGGACAUAGUCUAGGGGCCUAGAGGUGGUAUGUGAUCCAGUCUCAAAGCUCACCCUAUGUGACUUGCCCAAUACACAUGUUUCACAAAAUUCAAGAGGCUCAAUCGUAUCCUUCCCAAGCAACUUUUGAUUACUUAGAUACUUUAAACCUUUAUUUCCUAUAUGUCCCAUUCUGUUGUGCCACAAUUCAGAUUUAUUUUCCGUUAUGGUCAAAGAUUUAGCAUUUUGAGGGAUAACUGUCUCUCCCAAAAGAUAGUACAAUCCAUUUCUUCUUGGUCCCUUAAAGAUUACCAAAGAUCCCUUCAUAACUUUCAAGGUGUUAUUUUCAGACUUGAAAGGAUGUCCCUCAUCUUCAAGAGAUCCCAACGAGAUGAGAUUUCUUUUCAAAUUCGGGACAUGUCUCACAUUCUUUAAUUUCCUGACAAUGCCA